GGAAAGCAGGGGAUCGAAAGACCUUAUGCUUAUGGAGCGGCCGAUGCCUGAUUAGCUUGUUGGUGGGGUAAUGGCCUACCAAGGCGACGAUCAGUAGUUGGUCUGAGAGGACGACCAGCCACACUGGGACUGAGACACGGCCCAGACUCCUACGGGAGGCAGCAGUGGGGAAUUUUGGACAAUGGGCGCAAGCCUGAUCCAGCAAUGCCGCGUGAGUGAAGAAGGCCUUCGGGUUGUAAAGCUCUUUUAGUUAAGAAGAAAAGGUCGUGACUAAUAAUCAUGACUGAUGACGGUAUUAACAGAAAAAGCACCGGCUAACUACGUGCCAGCAGCCGCGGUAAUACGUAGGGUGCAAGCGUUAAUCGGAAUUACUGGGCGUAAAGGGUGCGCAGGCGGUUUGUAAGUCAG
rnacentral:rRNA from 1 species